rnacentral:rRNA from 1 species
AGCAGCCGCGGUAAUUCCAGCUCCAAUAGCGUAUAUUAAAGUUGUUGCAGUUAAAAAGCUCGUAGUUGAAUUUCGGGGUCAAUAUGUUGGUCGUGCCUUGGUACGUACUGGCAUUAUCGAUUCCUACCUUCUGAAGAACCUCGAUGUCAUUAAUUUGGUGUCUUGGGGAAUCAGGACUGUUACUUUGAAAAAAUUAGAGUGUUUAAAGCAGGCUCGCGCUUGAAUACAUUAGCAUGGAAUAAUGAAAUAGGACGUUUGAUUCUAUUUUGUUGGUUUCUAGGAUCGACGUAAUGAUUAAUAGGGAUAGUUGGGGGCAUUAGUAUUCAAUUGUCAGAGGUGAAAUUCUUGGAUUUAUUGAAGACUGACUACUGCGAAAGCAUUUGCCAAGGAUGUUUUCAUUAAUCAAGAACGAAAGUUAGGGGAUCGAAGACGAUCAGAUACCGUCGUAGUCUUAACCAUAAACUAUGCCGACUAGGGAUCGGAUGAUGUUAAUUUUUUAAUGACUCAUUCGGCGCCUUACG